AGAGUUUGAUCAUGGCUCAGGGUGAACGCUGGCGGCGUGCUUGACACAUGCAAGUCGAACGGUAUGUGGCAACACAUAGAGUGGCGAACGGGUGAGUAACACGUGGGAACGCACCCUACGCAGGGGGAUAACUGACCGAAAGGACAGCUAAUACCGCAUAAGACCGAAAGGUGAAAGGUGCAACUGCACCGGCGAAGGAGCGGCCCGCGGACCAUCAGCUAGUUGGUGGGGUAAGAGCCUACCAAGGCAACGACGGAUAGCCGGCGUGAGAGCGUGGCCGGCCACAAGGACACUGAGAUACGGGUCCUACUCCUACGGGAGGCAGCAGUGCGGAAUUUUAGAUAAUGGAGGCAACUCUGAUCUAGCGACGCCGCGUGCAGGAAGGAGGUCUUCGGAUUGUAAACUGCUGUGGUAAGGGAAAAAUGCCAUGUAGAGUGGAAAGCUACAUGGAGGGAUGGUACUUUACUAGAAAGCCCCGGCUAACUACGUGCCAGCAGCCGCGGUAAUACGUAGGGGGCGAGCGUUACCCGGAAUCACUGGGCGUAAAGGGAGCGUAGGUGGCCUGACAUGUCAACUGUGAAAACCCGGAGCUCAACUCCGGACUUGCAGUUGAAACUGCCAGGCUUGAGGACGGCAGAGGAAGACGGAACUGCCAGUGUAGGGGUAAAAUCCUUAGAUAUUGGCAGGAACGCCGGUGACGAAGGUGGUUUUCUGGGCCGGUUCUGACACUGAUGCUCGAAAGCCAGGGGAGCGAACGGGAUUAGAUACCCCGGUAGUCCUGGCCCUAAACGAUGUUCACUAGGUGUGGGGAGCGGAAAGCUUUCCGUGCUAAAGCUAACGCAAUAAGUGAACCGCCUGGGGAGUACGCCCGCAAGGGUGAAACUCAAAUGAAUUGACGG
rnacentral:rRNA from 1 species